rnacentral:rRNA from 1 species
GAUGAACGCUGGCGGCGUGCCUAAUACAUGCAAGUCGAGCGAACGGACGAGAAGCUUGCUUCUCUGAUGUUAGCGGCGGACGGGUGAGUAACACGUGGAUAACCGACCUAUAAGACUGGGAUAACUUCGGGAACCCGGAUCUAAUACCGGAUAAUAUUUUGAACCGCAUGGUUCAAAAGUGAAAGACGGUCUUGCUGUCACUUAUAGAUGGAUCCGCGCUGCAUUAGCUAGUUGGUAAGGUAACGGCUUACCAAGGCAACGAUGCAUAGCCGACCUGAGAGGGUGAUCGGCCACACUGGAACUGAGACACGGUCCAGACUCCUACGGGAGGCAGCAGUAGGGAAUAUUCCGCAAUGGGCGAAAGCCUGACGGAGCAACGCCGCGUGAGUGAUGAAGGUCUUCGGAUCGUAAAGCUCUGUUAGUAGGGAAGAAGAUAUGUGUAAGUAACUGUGCACAUCUUGACGGUACCUACUCAGAAAGCCACGGCUAACUACGUG